UGUGGGCUAAGUUUGGAUGAGCGGCAUACACAGGACCAGCUACUUUCAGCAAUUCCUCCAAAAAACCAGCCUCCUGUACCCAUCAUAAAUGACUUUGCAGCAUCACCAUCCCAGAAAGAAAACAACUUGAACUGGGAGAGACAAAGAAAACAUGCUGAGGACUACAAAAAGCCUGGCCACGCCAGGAGAGACUUUCUUCUAUAUCCAUGUACCAGCUCUGUGGGUGAAGGGGGGAGGGUGACAGCAGCCUUUCAAAGUCCAGUUUAUGGUCCAGUUGUAAGAUUUGUUAAGAAUAUGAUUCUCUGGACAAGUACUGCUAAUUCAAUGUAUGUCUAUAAACAAUAAACAAAACCAUGACCAUAUCUAUUCUCAUAUCAAAAUCACACUCCUGUUUACUGGUUAGGAAGAUAUGCAUAAUUUGAAUUAAGCCAUUGGAUUUAGUGUUCUCCAGAAGGGUACAAGUAUAUUAAAGUGAUAUUAACUGAAUCAAAGCAAAUGUAUAUUAGUGUAAUAAUAGUGAUGUAUAACAAACAAUGAAUAAGGGGGAAAUGUAUUAAAGCACAAAUUUGUAAUGCAAAGUUAUCAAAGUGGGAACUUCAGUGUAUUAUAAUAUGAUCAUGAGAAAGAUAUUCAACUUAAAAAGUGGAAAAAAUAAAAUAUAGGACAAGAAAUUGACAUACCAUCACAGGAAGGUAAAUAAGAAGUAGUUAAGAGUAUGGUUGAAAAUCAGUUAAUAGAAUAAUGACUUAAUGUAACUGAUUUAUUUCCACAGGUCUCUUGUAUACUGGAAAAAAUCUGGGAAGCAAAGGAUUUAUGGGAUAUGAUGGAAAAAAGCUUUACAAAGCCAGUAGGAUACAUCCAUUAUGUUUAAGAAUCACAUUAGAAUUAUACUUUUAAGUAAAAUAAUUGGUCAAGAAAUAGUUUUCAUAAAAAGAAUAAAUGCAGAUGAUAACAACAUGCAAGAUUAAGAAGAUGUAUUAAUUGUUAAAAGAUGUAGAGAACAAAGUACUAAUUGAAGUAUCCAAUUAAUGACAUUGUAAGACUAACCAGUUGAUAUCCAGAUCCACAUUGCUAACAAAUGUUUUCCCAGAUGACAAAUACUGUAAUUGAUCUUUGCUUUAUAUAUUUAAAUAUUCAAAAAGAAGAAAUAUUUGUAUGUUUUUAUGAAAUUAAACAAUAUACAAUUUGGUAUAGGAACAAAGAGGCUUUCAAAAUAAUGAGGGAAUAUAUAGUCAAUGUACUGGACAAGUGGGGUUAAUUUCUGCUACAAUAUUAUUAAAUUAAUUGGCAAUCAUAAAAGAUUAAACUUAUAUAAAAAUGAAUGAUAAUUUUAUUAAUGGUAACAACACAGCAGAUUUGGAAGCUAAAGAAGUCUCAGAAUGCCAUACAGAAGUAGUGCUUCUAGUGUUAAUACAAAAGCCUUUCUUAGAAGAUAGAAGGAAAAAAAAAAAACACGCUGGAUGUUAGGAAUAUUUUGUGGCACCUUAAGGGGGACAAAGAAAGACAUUCAUGACAUCUAAUGUACACAUUGGGGAUAAAUCAUUCUAUAGUACAGUAAAAUGUUACCUUUCCAGAUGGGUGGUUUUAAUUUCAAAUUAAAAACAGGUAUAAAAGAACUAAUUACAAUUAAAGAUUAAAAAGAGGAAAAAUUGGUAUUAUUCUCCAUAUGUGAAAAAAUGGUCUCAAUAUUUGAGUACAUUUCUGGUUGAGUUUCUGUUCAACAGGUAAAGCUAGUGCCAAACAAUAAGGAUAAAAAAUAUAGAAGAAGUAAUCCCUAGAUCAGCAUUUAUUUAAAAACAAUAAAGUGAAUACUGCAACAAUAAAGAACAAAGAAAAGACUAAGAUGUGUUUACCAUCCUUAAUCAUAAAAAGUAUACCAUCCCUUCAAUGUCAAACUCAGCAAAAAAUGUGAAAGCAUGAAACUGAACUGACUGGAUGCUUUGUCUCUUGCAAUAAUGAGUGACAGACUGCAAACUAACACUGCAUGGAAUGCUUAUUGGUCGACCAAUGGCAAUACCAAUGUCUGAGCUAUAUGAUAUAACAAAAAUUCAUCCCCAAAAAGGACAUCCUCUGGAACAACUGCAGAUGGAGCUUUUGGAACAAUUACAAAUAAAGAUGAGAUCUUAUGUGAUAAAACUAAUUGUAUGCAUAAGCUAUUUGUGUGCAGGGAAAAAGAAAAGGAGCCUGAUGAGGAGAUGGAGAUAAAAUGCCAUAUUAUGCCAUGGGAUCUAGUGUAUCUGAGGGUCUUCAGGAGAGAGUGACAUAAAACAAGGACCAAGGAGAGCAGCUCUAACAGCAGGCCAAGGGGGAAGGAGCACAUCUGAUGUCAUCUGAGCCAUUGCACAGAGUUCCUAAAAUACUAGUCGGAGAAGAGGACAACAAAAACACGAUACAGAAGAGGAGAGCUGGGGAGAAAAGGAGAACUUAAACACAAUAAUGAAGAGGAGAGGUGAGGAAAAGAAAAUAAUAAAAGACAUGAUACAGAAGACAACAACAGAAAAAUUAAAAGCAAUUCAAGCCUACAAAGAGAUAAAAGAACGAAGUAAUGACCACUCAGGGCAUAUCAAGCAACAACAACAAAGUUAAGAAAAAUUUGUAAAUGAGAAGAGACUUUCAGGAGCAACAACCAAUGAGUGCAAAGCAGUGGAGUUCACAAGCAAUACACAGGGACAAAGCUGCUGAUAAUGUGUAAAGGACACACAAGGAAAAGUUCAAGGAAUUAGCCAUGGAAAUUGAAAAAUAAAGCUAAUAACCAGUUUGACAAUUAUCAGCAACAUAUGGUAAAUUCACACGACUACAAUCAAUAAUCAAACUUCUCUUCAAUUAACUUUUCACCUAUCAGCAAGGAUCAGUAACACUUCAGCGAGGACCAGUAACACCAGUGAGAAUUUAUUCUACAAUAAUCUCUGCAGAACCAAAAUUUAGAUAAAAUACUGAAGAUACCAAAACAAAAAGGAGACAAGGACAUCAACAGAAGAAAAAGGACGUCAACGGAAGGAAAAAAAAAAAGUUGGACAUUUUAUGGGAAACAACAAAAAACAUAAUGAAUAGUACAAAUGGGUAAUUUUCAAAGCUAAGAGAAAUUGGUAUGAACAAUUGCUUAUUAUGCUCUGAAUUAUGAAAGGUAAUAAUAAUCAAAAGUCAACAUGAUAUUAUAGGGGUGUUCAAUUUAACAAAUUGACAAAUUCUGGUUUAAAUAUCAAUUUUAUAGGGCAUAUUUUGGUAAAUAGUCUCAAUUUUGGAAAGUUAAUAAAAGCAUUAAAAUAGAAAAAAGGCAGAAUAGGAAAAAAAAAAAAAUACUAAAGAUUAUGAAUGCUACAGUAAACCUGAUGGAACUAAAGAUGAGGGAUAUUUAAAGGGAAUAUUCUAUAACACAGAACUUGAACAAAUCAAAUAUAAAAUUCCAAAAGCUAUUAUAAAUCCUUAACAAUUUUGGCUUUAGGUAUGGAAAGGGUGGACAAUGCUGGUAUACAGUAAAAAGAAUGUGGGAAUCAGAUCAUAGCACUGGACAUAUGAAGAUCAAACAGUAAUGUUAGCGGAAUUAUUUUGGUUUAAUUUUGAUUUGAUGGGAAAUUAUAACUUAUGGUAGUUUUGCAAUUGGAGAAGAAAUAUAUAUGUACUAGAUUAAGGUUAAUUCAAUAAAUCAUCAUGGUUUUAAGUUUGAACAAAAUACAGAGAAAACAAAUGAUAAAACUAAAAUAGUUUAUCCCUAAAUUGGUUUGGUAUUACCAUAUGUUACAAUUUAAGCAAGAGAUGAGAUAAAAUCAUGAUUAGAAUAAAUAUUGAUUUAAUCUAGAAUUACUAAAUUAUAUCUACUAUAAUCAACACAGGUUUAUUAAAUUUAACUAAUGAUGUUUUAACAAUUUUAGAAAAACAAUGAGAUACUACAAAGGGGUAUAGUUUUAUUGUACGGAGAUUAAUGUUAUGCUAAAAAUACAACAUAGAUAUUCAUUGAAGCUAUCAAUAAGCUUAAGAGUUUAGGAUAGAAACUGCAACAAAUACAGGAAGAAAAAAUCUUAAUGUGGAAUUGGUGUGAUUUAAAAUUAGGAAAAUGGGUGAUUGGUUUGUCAAAUUAUCAAAGAUAUAUUUUGGUAUGUCAAAUGAUUUAUAGGUUAAAUGAUGCAAAUGAUUAAAGGUAUAGGUUAAAGGAUGAAUAUUAUCAAAGGUAUAAGGUAAAUGAUGCAAAUUAUCAGAGGUUAAGGAUUUGCAAGUUUAAUUGGAUGAAUUGUUAUUUUACUGUGUACUUCCUAUAUUGAAACAAAUGUUAAUGUUGAAAUAUCAAGAUGAAAAGUUACUUCAUAUAGGAAAUUACAAAGUGCAUCAAAAAUGGGUUUUGCAAAAGUUUGAAAAUGGUAAUACUACAUCAGAAAAAGAUAAUAAGAAUUGAAAAGGUAUUUGACUAAUUUCCACUCUUAUGAUGAAUAUGGAUGUUUUUAUGAGUUCUGAUUUUACAGCAACAAUGACAUAAUGAAGUAUAUUCUAUGAUCAUAAAGGUUUAUUAAUUGAAGGAGUAGGUUCUUUUACUUCUCCAAGAGAAGAUGUUUGUUCCACACUCCACCAAAGUGCGGCAGCAUGAUUUAGUCAUUGGUAAGGGAAAGAUGGCUUAGUUGGGCCAUUAAUUAGCUUAACUUAAUUGAACUGGAUUAUGAAGUUGCACUUUGGGUGAGACUUGUGAAAGUCUCAAAGGGUGGAAUGAAGAAGAUUUUUUAAUUCAGAACUAUAUCUUUGGUGAACAUGGUAUUCAGAUUCAAAUGUGUUUUGCAAGUAUGUAUGUCUCAUGCUUGUAAGCUGAAGACUAGCAGUCUUAAAGACUGCAAUGUAUGCAGUGUUUAAAAUAUGGUAACUGAGAGCAGAGCUAAAAAUGCAUAGGCUGACAUUUGGAAGGAAUGAAGUUACCACACCUGUCAAACAUAAAAACAUGCUAAAAACAACUACAUGGGAGGGGUUUCAACUUUUAGAGAACUGUAUAUUAGGUUGCAUUCUGAAAAAGACUCUUUAGUUGCUUGGCCACCAACUCGGCCUUAUUGUUGUAUGCAAUAAAGUCAUCUUUUGGCAAUGGAA